rnacentral:lncRNA from 1 species
UCUUGCAUUUCCUGCCGCAUACUCCGCAUACAUAGGGUUCAGUUGAUGAGACGAUUCCCUUCCGCUCCAGGAUGUCCUGCUGCCUCCUCUCCCGCCGGUCCUCCACCACCCACUGUGGGAGGUGGACGAAGGCGUGACGGUUGGCGUAAGCAGACAUCUCGAUUACCUCUCCGAAAUUCUCCGCCAUUUCCUUCAGCGCCAAAGCCGCGUUAUAAGGCGGCCCACGCGGGGGCUUGUUGUCGAGAUCCCACAGAACCACCACUUUGUUCUGCCUGGCGGGGUACGUUCCUUUCUUUUUUUUUUCCAUUUUUUUUUUCUGUGUUCCUCUCCCGCCGGUCCUCCACCACCCACUGUGGGAGGUGGACGAAGGCGUGACGGUUGGCGUAAGCAGACAUCUCGAUUACCUCUCCGAAAUUCUCCGCCAUUUCCUUCAGCGCCAAAGCCGCGUUAUAAGGCGGCCCACGCGGGGGCUUGUUGUCG